rnacentral:lncRNA from 10 species
GUUCUGCAAAUGUGCCUCCACAUCCAUCUGCCUCGUAUUUAUUGAACAUAAUAAUCAAGAGUGUACUACCAUCUAUGCUUCCCUCUCUGCAGUGGCCCUCUUCCGACAAGCAAUGGCAGGAGGUGGAAUGUGAGCUGGGCCUGGGGAAGAUUUCGAGAGUCAGAGACGCCUAAUAGAUGCUGACACGGGCACAGAGGAAAGCCAUGAGACAUGAGCAGCUUGGUCAGCAACAUGGUGGCUCUUUGUCUACUAACUUAACUCUGGAGGUCAGAGGCAGGGCUUUUGGCUAUUUGAGCUUCAUCUUUCUGGUCUAUACAAUCCAUCUCCUUAAUUAAUGGCCAUUCACCAUUAAAGCCAAGCUUGUGGCAAUUCAUGCCACUUGAAGAGCACAAUCUUUUAAUCUUUGCUCUUUGCUUGUCUCCUCCUAACUGAAUCUCAGGCAGGAAGAAAAAUAACAGUAAGUCUUCCCUCUGGGAUCCCAUGACCUUCAGUGCCCCAGCAAAGUAGGUCCGCAACAUUGAUAUGUGACCUGCCUUCCUGCUUCCCACACCUCCCCUUCUAACCAGGGCUAUGUUAUCUAAGUUGAAAGACAACGGGAGACAAAAAUUCCUGGACUGUGUUUCUGCCAAAUCUCUCGGACAUCAUUUGCAGUCAGGAAAUGAAACUGACUUAAUUCCUACCUAGACAAAAUUCUUCCUGUUUCUCAUAACACAAAGAGAAGCAGAGCAAAAACACAUUGGGAAUAAUUAAAUAUACACAUUUCUCUGUGUGGCGGGGUGAAUUUUCUUUGCUUUUUCUUUAGCUUUCCCAAACUACUGUACCCACUCACAUCCCACCCCAACAGAGAAAACAUUUUAGGAGUUUGGUCCAAUUUGGUCUCCAACCAGAGCAGGAUAAGAGCAGAGCUUGAUCUCCAGUUUUCUCCCCAGGAGGCCAAUGAAAAGAAAGUUCUGCUUGCAGUUUUGGCAAGAAUGAACACCACAGCCUGUCAUGUGUCCCACAGCAAGAUGACACCACUGACCUAAAUACCUGCUCAGGGAUACUGUGCCUUCCCGCUCAUAAUGACUGGCUUGGAUUCUUCCAAACCACUAGGUUGAGCCAUUAUGGCUUGGGAUCCUCAGCUUCUCUCACACAGAUUCAAUCCUCUUAGCAGGUGUACAUAUCACAGGUGAAUGUUCAGUCUUUGGGUGUGGACACACACAGACACAAGGUGCCCCUCAAUUCAUUCUCUGCAAGAGCAGCAUUCUCCACCACUGUGUCUCAUUUGCUGGAAUAACUUCCAAGGUCUUUGCUAGGGCAAGGAGCUCUGAAACGAAAGCCCAUGUCCUUGUCUGUGUCCUGGUCUCCUCUCUCAGAUCAGAUUUGCCAGGCUGAUCUGCUACCUCAUCCCACAGUUUAUCUCUACAGUAAAAAAAGCAUCUCCCAUGAGCUCUACCUCUGUCCUACCUUGUGUUUGCCAUUAUGAGAAUAGAUUAUACAGUCGGAGAGAAAGAGAGAGGGAGAGAUCAUCAGUCACAAGAUCCAUGAGCAAUAAAUGUUAACGUAUGCCAAUUUUUAUCGG